rnacentral:rRNA from 1 species
UACGUAGGGUGCGAGCGUUAAUCGGGAAUUACUGGGCGUAAAGAGUGCGUAGGCGGUUCGUUAAGUCAGCUGUGAAAGCCCCGGGCUCAACCUGGGAACUGCGGUUGAAACUGGCGAACUAGAAUCUGGCAGAGGGGGGUGGAAUUCCACGUGUAGCAGUGAAAUGCGUAGAGAUGUGGAGGAACACCGAUGGCGAAGGCAGCCCCCUGGGCUGAGAUUGACGCUCAGGCACGAAAGCGUGGGGAGCAAACAGGG